UACGUAGGUGGCAAGCGUUGUCCGGAUUUACUGGGUGUAAAGGGUGCGCAGGCGGGACUGCAAGUUGGAUGUGAAACUCCGAGGCUCAACCUCGGAACUGCAUCCAAAACUGUGGUUCUUGAGUGGAGCAGAGGUAAGCGGAAUUCCGAGUGUAGCGGUGAAAUGCGUAGAUAUUCGGAGGAACACCAGUGGCGAAGGCGGCUUACUGGGCUCUAACUGACGCUGAGGCACGAAAGCAUGGGUAGCAAAC
rnacentral:rRNA from 1 species